rnacentral:rRNA from 1 species
UACGUAGGGUCCGAGCGUUGUCCGGAAUCAUUGGGCGUAAAGCGCGUGUAGGCGGUCCGAUAAGUCGGUUGUGAAAGUCCAGGGCUCAACCCUGGGAUGCCGACCGAUACUGUCGGACUAGAGUUCGGAAGAGGCGAGUGGAAUUCCUGGUGUAGCGGUGGAAAUGACGCAGAUAUCAGGAAGAACACCCGUGGCUAAGGCGGUUCUCUAGUACGGUACUGACGCUGAGACGCGAAAGCGUGGGGAGCGAACAGG